CCUACGGGUGGCUGCAGUGGGGAAUAUUGGGCAAUGGGCGCAAGCCUGACCCAGCAACGCCGCGUGAAGGAAGAAGGCUUUCGGGUUGUAAACUUCUUUUGACAGGGAAGAGCAGAAGACGGUACCUGUCGAAUAAGCCACGGCUAAUUCCGUGCCAGCAGCCGCGGUAAUACGGAAGGCCCGAGCGUUAUCCGGAUUCAUUGGGCUUAAAGGGAGCGUAGGCGGGCGUUCAAGUCAGCUGUAAAAUCGCGGGGCUCAACCGCGCCCCGCAGUUGAAACUGGACGCCUUGAGUUCACAACAGGCAGGCGGAAUUCGUGGUGUAGCGGUGAAAUGCAUAGAUAUCACGAGGAACCCCGAUUGCGAAGGCAGCCUGCCGGGGUGCGACUGACGCUGAGGCUCGAAGGUGCGGGUAUCAAACAGGAUUAGAUACCCCAGUAGUC
rnacentral:rRNA from 1 species